rnacentral:lncRNA from 1 species
GUCCACUCUCCACUCUCCCGCUGGCUACUGCUCAUCAGGAGCAAGAUGGGGGUGGGGACUGUCCAAUGAUUCCUCUGUGUGAUAGAUGACCAAGUGGCUGCAGUCGUGGGGGUCUACACAGCAGUGCAAGAUUGUUUGUAGCUGAUUUGAUCAAACUCUGGCUUCCUGAACUGGAAUGAAAUGCAGAUAACUCGUUAGCAAACUUUUGUGGGAAAAAAGUGCCUUGUGCGAUCAGAACAAAGCCGUUUUAUAAUCAGAUUUACCAAGCUGAGAAGAGGGAGUUUCAGCAAAUGGAAGCUUCAGCUUUCUGUCACCAGGAAACACUGCGUUAUCCAGAAUCGGUCUUCUUGACUUGCUUUUGUAUACAGGAUCACCAUGGAAGUGGGAAGCAUAGGCCUUGAAGGAAGCCAUACUUUAGUACAAAAUUAGUAUGUGAAAAAUUGGGAGAGAUAAGUACCAACAUAUGGAGUAAUGAGUAAACGUCAGCUCAGCUUCCACAAGGCUCUGCACACCGUUUAUCCGGGGCUGACCAGCCAUGAGAAGAACAUCUUGAACCAAUUAUUGUAGGCUCUUGAAGAGCUGCAAAUAUUUCCUUCAAAUGCAAUGUGGAGAGAAUUCCUUUGGUAGUAGCAGAAUGGCUUACCAGUUUGCUAUAGCAUUUAUUUCUAUCCCCGCUCCCCCUAAGAACAACUACAGAGGCUUCGGUGUUCUUAUGAGACACAUGCUUUCCAAACAACUGUUCAUUUGCCAUUUCCUAGUUUUGUCUUCUUUUUCCUAUGGAAUAAAUAGGAGUGUAUUAAGCAGUCAUAA